CAGCACGUCUUCGGAUGGUGGCGACUGGCGAACGGGUGCGUAACGCGUAUGCAACCUACCCUCAACAGGGGAAUAGCCCAGAGAAAUUUGGAUUAAUACCCCAUAGUAUUACAGAUUCGCAUGUUUCUGUGAUUAAAGUUCCAACGGUUGAGGAUGGGCAUGCGUGACAUUAGUUGUUGGUGAGGUAACGGCUCACCAAGACUACGAUGUCGUAGGGGUUCUGAGAGGAUGACUCCCCCACACUGGUACUGAGAUACGGACCAGACUUC
rnacentral:rRNA from 1 species